CGCGGUUAGACUUAAAACUACAAAUUUUAAUUAUAAGCAGUUAAUAUAAGUAUUUUAAUAAUACUAAGAAAAGAGGUAAAAUUUAAGCUCUAAUUUUUUAAACUAAGUUAAUAGUGAAGCUGUUAAAUUUAAAACUUAAACCGGGAUUAGAUACCCCGCUAUAUUUAAAUAAGUUAAUAAAUAGGGUAUUAAAAGUUAUGUUCUUAAAACUCAAAGGAUUUGGCGGUUUUUAAACCAACUAGAGGAGGCUGUUACAUAAUCGUAAACACGCGUUAGAUUUAACCUUAUAAUAACUCGUAUAUCGUCGUCUAAAUAUAACUUAUAGGCUAUAUUUAAAUGAAUAAAUAAAGAUGUCAGAUCAAGGUGCGGUAGUAUUAAGGGGAGAAUGGCCUACAAUUUAUAAAAUAGUGGAAGGUUAUUUAAAUAAUCCUGAAAAUGGAUUUAGUAGUACUUACGUUUAAAUAUGACGUUAAAAAUAGGCUCUUAAAAAUGUACAUAUCGCCCGUCACUCUCAUUGCUGGGAUAAGUCGU
rnacentral:rRNA from 1 species